rnacentral:rRNA from 1 species
CCUGGUUGAUCCUGCCAGUAGCAUAUGCUUGUCUCAAAGAUUAAGCCAUGCAAGUGUAAGUACAAGUAACUCGUAUUUACGAGACUGCGAACAGCUCAUUAAAUCAGUUAUAGUUUAUUUGAUAAUCUCUUUACUACUUGGAUAACCGUAGUAAAUCAAGGGCUAAUACAUGCGAAAAAGCACGACUUUUUGGAAGUGCUGUAUUUAUUAGAUGCAAAAAUCAAUGCACUUUUCGGAGUGGUUUGAUUGGUGAACCAUAAUAACUUUGCGAAUCGGGCGGCCUAGCGCCGACGAUGAUUCAAUUAAGUUUCUGCCCUAUCAUACUUUCGACGGUAGCGUAUUGGGCUACCGUGGUUGUAACGGGUAACGGAGAAUUAGGGUUCGAUUCCGGAGAGGGGGCCUGAGAGAUGGCCACCACUUCCAAGGAAGGCAGCAGGCGCGCAAAUUACCCAAUCCCGACUCGGGGAGGUAGUGACAAGAAAUAACAAUACGGGAACCGUUUCGGUUUCUGUAAUUGGAAUGAGUACAAUUUAAAUCGCUUAACGAGUAACGAGUGGAGGGCAAGUCUGGUGCCAGCAGCCGCGGUAAUUCCAGCUCCACUAGCGUAUCUUAAUGUUGUUGCAGUUAAAAAGCUCGUAGUUGGAUCUUGGAGGUGCUCGGGGAUCGGUCCGCCUUGACGGCGAGUACUGACCUCAGCUCUCUAUAAGUGGUAGUUACGUACAGGUGGGCCUUAACUGGUCUGCCUGUCUGGGGGAGCCCUCGUGGCGAGCCUGGGGUGCGGCCGGGUGUGCGUCGUGGGGUUUACGCUCUGCGGUGGCACUCGGUCGGGCAACGUGUUACCUAGUUUACUUUGUAAAAAUUAGAGUGUUUAAAGCAGACCUUAGGGUCAUUGAAUACAUUAGCAUGGGAUAAUAGAAAAGGAGAUUAGUCUCAUUUUGUUGGUUUUUUGGGACGGAUCUAAUGAUUAAAAGGGACAGUUGGGGUGGUUUGUAUUGAAUCGUCAGAGGUGAAAUUCAAGGAUUGAUUCAAGACAAACUUCUGCGAAAGCGAUCUACAAGGAUGUUUUCAUUAAUCAAGAACGAAAGUUGGGGGAUCGAAGACGAUCAGAUACCGUCGUAGUCUCAACCAUAAACUAUGCCGACCAAGGAUUGGAGAAAGUUAAAUCAAAACGACUUCCCCAGCACUUUGCGAGAAAUCACAAGUCUUUGGGUUCCGGGGGGAGUAUGGUCGCAAGGCUGAAACUUAAAGGAAUUGACGGAAGGGCACCACCAGGCGUGGAGCCUGCGGCUUAAUUUGACCCUACACGGGGAAACUUACCAGGUCCAGACAACGCUAGGAUUGACAGAUUGAGAGCUCUUUCUUGAUUCGUUGGGUGGUGGUGCAUGGCCGUUCUUAGUUGGUGGUGUGAAUUGUCUGGUUGAUUCCGUUAACGAACGAGACCUUCACUUGCUAAAUAGCUACUGGAAGA